AUUGAACGCUGGCGGCAUGCCUUACACAUGCAAGUCGAACGGCAGCACGGGAGCAAUCCUGGUGGCGAGUGGCGAACGGGUGAGUAAUAUAUCGGAACGUGCCCAGUCGUGGGGGAUAACGCAGCGAAAGCUGUGCUAAUACCGCAUACGAUCUCUGGAUGAAAGCGGGGGACUCGCAAGAGCCUCGCGCGAUUGGAGCGGCCGAUAUCAGAUUAGCUAGUUGGCGGGGUAAAGGCCCACCAAGGCGACGAUCUGUAGCUGGUCUGAGAGGACGACCAGCCACACUGGAACUGAGACACGGUCCAGACUCCUACGGGAGGCAGCAGUGGGGAAUUUUGGACAAUGGGCGAAAGCCUGAACCAGCCUUGCCGCGUGGAGGAUGAAGGUCCUCUGGAUUGUAAACUUCUUUUAUUUGGGACGAAAAAAGGGGAUUCUUCCUCACUUGACGGUACCAGAUGAAUAAGCACCGGCUAACUCCGUGCCAGCAGCCACGGUAAUACGGAGGGUGCAAGCGUUAUCCGGAUUCACUGGGUUUAAAGGGUGCGUAGGCGGGCAGGUAAGUCAGUGGUGAAAUCUUUGGGCUUAACCCGAAAACUGCCUUGAUACUAUCUGUCUUGAAUAUUGGUGGAGGUUUGCGGAAUAUGUCAUGUAGCGGUGAAAUGCUUAGAUAUGACAUAGAACACCU
rnacentral:rRNA from 1 species